rnacentral:rRNA from 1 species
AUGGUGCCGCAACGUCAGUGGCAUAUCCAAGAGCAGCAAUUCAGUACGGAUAUGCGAGUGCUGGACCUAGGGGCAUACGACGCAGUGUUGGGCGCCGACUGGCUAGCUCAACAUAGUCCGAUGAAGUGUGACUGGCAAGAGAAGACCAUGCAGUUCGAACGGGAUGGACAACCGGUACACUUGAGGGGCGUCCGGUCAGACGAACAACCAACUCUGUCUGCUAUGGAUGCAGCGGCACUUUGGCAGAUGCAUGAUGCGAAUGAAAUUUGGGGUGCUGCUCUCCUGGAAAUUCAGUUAACCUCUACCACACCGUCAGAUUCAGCACAACCUAUACCAGUGGUGAUUCAGAACCUGCUCACAGACUUCAGUGAUGGGUUUGCUGAACCCACUGAACUACCUCCUCACCGGCAAUACGAUCAUGCGAUAACCUUGGAACCUGGUGCCACACCCAUUAAUUGCAGGCCGUUCCGCUACUCACCACUACAGAAAGAUGAGAUUGAGCGGCAAGUCGCCGAAAUGCUACGUACCGGCGUCAUCACCCACAGCAUGAGUCCUUUCGCCGCACCAGUGCUGCUCGUGAAGAAGAAGGACAGGACAUGGCGUUUCUGUGUUGACUACAGACGCCUAAACAUGGUCACUAUCAAGAACAAGUUUCCACUCCCGGUCAUUGAUGAACUGUUGGAUGAGCUAGCUGGCGCCGUGUUCUUCUUCAAAAUCGAUUUGCGCGCGGGCUACCAUCAGAUCCGCAUGCGAGAGGGUGAUGAAGAGAAAACAGCAUUUAAAACGCAUCAUGGGCACUUUCAGUUUCGAGUUAUGCCAUUUGGAGUCACCAACGGACCACCAACAUUCCAGUGUGUCAUGAACUCCGUCUUCGCAGGCCCUAAUCGUAAGUUUGUCAUUACUUUCCUCGAUGACAUUUUGGUUUUCAGUCAGUCCCUGUAG